AUGCAAAGAGAAAACCCAAAGCAGGAGCGAGGAGAGGGGCGGGGCGUUGGAGGGGCCCGGGGCAAUCGCCCGGCACCCCUGGAAGGCCUGCAUCCCGUGGGCUCUGUGGGCUCGGGGCUUCCCAGAGGGAGAGGCUGUGCCCCAGCGGCUCCGCCCCAGCUGUGCGGUCGCCGGGCCCCAGGGACGAUGCCGAGACAAUCUCAUGAUCUCGACUCUCGGCCUGAGCGGUGGGCAGGUACGUGGGCCCUGUUCCCUCCCUGUUCCCUCCCGGUUCCCUCCCGACAGUCAAGGCCAUGGCCCGGGGAGGCCAAGCAGGUCCCGCCCAGACACCUGCCUCUAGGGACGCGGGAGUGCGCUCCCCUUCCCAGCCUGGCUUGGGCUGGAGGGGGGGGGCGGGGGGGGCAUUCUGCAGGGCAUGGGGGUGCUGGAGGGCAGGGGGUGCGGGGGUGUGCUGGAGGGAAGGGGGGGUUGGAGGGCAGAGGGGGGCUGGAGAGCAGGGGGGCUGGAGAGUGUGGGGGGUUGCUGGAGGGCAGGGGGUGCUGGAGGGCAGAGGGGGGCUGGAGGGCGGGGGGCUGUAGGGCACGGGGUGGAUUGGAGGGCAGGGGAGCUGGAGGGCACGGGGGUGCUGGAGGACAGGGGUGCUGCAGGGCGGGGGGGUGCUGGAGGGAAGGGGGUGUUGGAGGGCAGAGGGGGGCUGGAGGGCACGGGGGUCCUGGAGGGCAGAGGGGCGGGGCUGGAGGGCGGGGUGCUGGAGGGCUCGGGGCAGCUGGAGGCCGCGGGGGUGGGGGCUGGAGGGCGGGGGCUGGAGGGCGGAGGGGGGGUAGAGCAGCCCAGGGCUGGGGGUGCAGUAGGAGCGCGGCCCCACGGGAGGCAAGACACCGGAGUCGCCUUGAGAUCUCCUCUCACGCAGCAAAGCAAAACUGGAGAAGCGCAGCUCCACCUCCCCGCGCAAGUCAGGAAGGAGCUAAGCCUUCGGGAACACGGGAUGUGGGAGACGGAAGUGCGGUGGCGCAGGGCCCAGGCGGUGUGGGGUGUGGGCCGCAGCCCUCCAGCCCCCUCCCCGGCCCCCCUCCCUGUCCCCGGGGACACCUGCUGGGCCCCAGCCCUGCCUGCCGAGGGACAAGGGACAAGGAACGGAACAUGCUUCCUUUUUAG
rnacentral:lncRNA from 1 species